rnacentral:ncRNA from 1 species
GCAGAGUAGGAUCUUGUGCGUUAAGUGCUGUAUGAACGGGGAGUUGUCAUAUAGACGAAAGGUAAGGUUACUUGCGGUACAAGGUUCGCAUCCCGCUGC